GGGCCCUUCAUCACCCUACAUUCUUCAUAUUAGCAUUUUCUCACAGCCUCACUGCUGCAGUUCCAGCACUAGAGCUCUCCCACCUCAGCACAGAACUGCCAGGAUUUCUAUUUGCCCUGUCUUGCCUCCAUCUUUUAAGAGGCCAACCUCUAGCGAACUAUCUCACAGCACACCUGGCCAGUAACACAUCCCCAGAGUUCUGAAAAGCAACAACCAGAACCUUAAGAAGUUUGAAGCUUCUCUUGGAGCACAUAUCAUUUUGUAAGGGAAGGAGGAACUUUCUUUGGCAAUUCCAGAGUUUACUUUGGGAGACUCCAGUAACUGAUCAUUUACUGUGCUGCAUUACGCUGUAUUAGAGAAGGGAUGACCUCGCUUCUUACGCUUGGCCAGGGAGAAAUGGCUAGGAAGAAGUUGAAGUCUUUUUAAAAAAUCAUCUAACACAAAUAUUUCUAACUUGCUCUAUGGAGAUAAUAAAAAACAAUCAGCAACUGCUGGGUA